ACCUGAGACGUGUUGCAUAGGCGUAGCGAAUCGAGCGAAGCUAGCCAAUCUAGCCGGAAGUGUAAAGAGCGCGCCCCUACAAGCUAGCGAACCUAGACCCCUAGCGUAGCAAAGCUAGCGGCCUUUGGAGGUCCUACGCUUGCUAUUCAAAAUGGCCGACAUUGUUGUCGCUUUCAAGUUUGCAGAUGAGAGUUUCUUUGAUGCUCCCGUUAAAAAGGAGUAUUGGACCGGAUACAAAGUGAAAUGAAUGUGGGAAAUCAAUGGACCAAGGGGGCAGUACUUUUCCUCAUGGACACUUAUGCCGAACAUAAGGAACAAUUUGCAAUUCCAACUUGAAAAUAGAGGUAAGGAAGAGGAUUGCUUCGGAAAUGGCAGCCUCAGGAUGCCACUUUGCUCCAGCAGCACUUGAGAAAAAAAUGGAGCAAUAUGAAAAUAUGAAUGGCUGAAAUCUUGGAAGGAGACCCUUUGUUCAUCCCACCACUGACAUCAUCACUGGGGAGUGUAAAA
rnacentral:lncRNA from 1 species